rnacentral:misc_RNA from 1 species
CGACGCGCGCGCACACACCCACACAACCCAUACUGCUGCCUCUUCCAUCGAAGCUCUUCGGCUGAGGGAUUCUUGAUUUCCCACUGCUCACCAUCAUCCGCUGUGACGGACAGCCCCCCUCUGUGGGCGGUAUAAACAGGGUUCGGUGCUCGCACUCUCUGUGCGGGAGAAGCCAGUCGACCACCCAGCCCCUGCCCCUCUCCCUGCCGAUGCCGAGCCCCUCCCCCCCCUCCCUGCUGGUGGUGUCAGGGGGAGGCACCCACCUAGGUAGGGAUGCCAGAGCGAUGUGUGGCUGCUGAUGUCGGCGGUCGUGUCCUGGGGCGGCGUUGCGUCGGCGCGACCCGCGACCGUGGGCACGUCUGUGGCAUCCAUAUGAGAAUAGGCAAAGCAUCAGGGUGACUCGAAGGUACCUCACCCCUACCCCCGACCCACACACGCCCCACACCGGUGUGGGGAGGCUGAGCCACCGCGAGGGGGGGGGCGGGGAGGGAUGCGCGAGGUGGCGUCUGGGCAUCACAUGAGCGGCUGCGAGGCGACCUGCGGGGGCCGAGGUGUGAGUGAACAGAGUAUGAGGCCGAGGCGGUGCUCCGAUGAUCGGGCCGGCGCGCUGGUGUAGCGCGCGUGUGUCUACGGCUGCAUGGGCACCACACACGGGACGGGUCUGUGAGGCUCCACGGCCGUUCGAGUCGCGCCGUAUAGGACUGAGUGGAUAAGGUGGAGAAAAAACAAAUGUGCAUCUUGUUUCUUCGCGCCCUCUGGUAGAUGUGCUGCACUCCGUGAUAGGGACGCACAGAUUCAG